rnacentral:rRNA from 1 species
AGGAACAGCUUGCUGUUUCGCUGACGAGUGGCGGACGGGUGAGUAAUGUCUGGGAAACUGCCUGAUGGAGGGGGAUAACUACUGGAAACGGUAGCUAAUACCGCAUAACGUCGCAAGACCAAAGAGGGGGACCUUCGGGCCUCUUGCCAUCGGAUGUGCCCAGAUGGGAUUAGCUAGUAGGUGGGGUAACGGCUCACCUAGGCGACGAUCCCUAGCUGGUCUGAGAGGAUGACCAGCCACACUGGAACUGAGACACGGUCCAGACUCCUACGGGAGGCAGCAGUGGGGAAUAUUGCACAAUGGGCGCAAGCCUGAUGCAGCCAUGCCGCGUGUAUGAAGAAGGCCUUCGGGUUGUAAAGUACUUUCAGCGGGGAGGAAGGGAGUAAAGUUAAUACCUUUGCUCAUUGACGUUACCCGCAGAAGAAGCACCGGCUAACUCCGUGCCAGCAGCCGCGGUAAUACGGAGGGUGCAAGCGUUAAUCGGAAUUACUGGGCGUAAAGCGCACGCAGGCGGUUUGUUUAAGUCAGAUGUGAAAUCCCCGGGCUCAACCUGGGAACUGCAUCUGAUACUGGCAAGCUUGAGUCUCGUAGAGGGGGGUAGAAUUUCCAUG